rnacentral:rRNA from 1 species
CAGUAGCCGCGGUAAUACGUAGGUGGCAAGCGUUGUCCGGAAUUAUUGGGCGUAAAGGGCUCGCAGGCGGUUUCUUAAGUCUGAUGUGAAGGCCCCCGGCUCAACCGGGGAGGGUCAUUGGAAACUGGGAAACUUGAGUGCAGAAGAGGAGAGUGGAAUUCCACGUGUAGCGGUGAAAUGCGUAGAGAUGUGGAGGAACACCAGUGGCGAAGGCGACUCUCUGGUCUGUAACUGACGCUGAGGAGCGAAAGCGUGGGGAGCGAACAGGAUUAGAUACCCGAGUAGUCCCUGUCUCUUAUAA